GUAAACUUUUAGUUAAAAGAGUUUUAUAAACUCUUUUUGUGGAUUUUAAAUGCUUAAAGUCCCGAUCUCUGGCGAUUAAUAUUUAUGAUAUCGCACUUUUUUAAAUUCCUGGAUGCAUUACCGCAGAGCUCAAAAUCUAGUUGUAGCCGUGUCUGCACUACUGGGAUCUAUAGUUAUUUGGUACUUUGGUACUAUUAUUGACAAUACACCAUCAUGACCAUAGUAUGUAGUAAACCAUUGAUUAAUUUAUAU